rnacentral:misc_RNA from 1 species
GAUGAAGAACGUAGCGAAAUGCGAUAAGUAAUGUGAAUUGCAGAAUUCAGUGAAUCAUCGAAUCUUUGAACGCACAUUGCGCCCGCCAGUAUUCUGGCGGGCAUGCCUGUUCGAGCGUCAUUACAACCCUCAGGCCCCCGGGCCUGGCGUUGGGGAUCGGCGGAGCCCCCCGUGGGCACACGCCGUCCCCCAAAUGCAGUGGCGGUCCCGCCGCAGCUUCCAUCGCGUAGUAGCUAACACCUCGCGACUGGAGAGCGGCGCGGCCACGCCGUAAAACACCGAACUCUUCUGAAGUUGACCUCGAAUCAGGUAGGAAUACCCGCUGAACUUAAGCAUAUCAAUAAGCGGAGGA